rnacentral:rRNA from 1 species
UACGUAGGGGGCAAGCGUUGUCCGGAUUUAUUGGGCGUAAAGAGCGUGUAGGCGGCCAUACAGGUCCGUUGUGAAAACUGGAGGCUUAACCUCCAGACGUCGAUGGAAACCGUAUGGCUAGAGUCCGGAAGAGGAGAGUGGAAUUCCUGGUGUAGCGGUGAAAUGCGCAGAUAUCAAGAGGAACACCUGCGGCGAAGGCGGGUUGCUGGGCUGACACUGACGCUGAUGCGCGAAAGCCAGGGGAGCGAACGGG